rnacentral:rRNA from 1 species
UACAGAGGUGGCAAGCGUUGUUCGGAAUUACUGGGCGUAAAGGGCGCGUAGGCGGCUCGACAAGUCCCGCGUGAAAGCCCCCGGCUCAACUGGGGAACUGCGCGGGAAACUGUCGGACUUGAGUUCGGGAGAGGGAAGCGGAAUUCCGGGUGUAGCGGUGAAAUGCGUAGAUAUCCGGAGGAACACCGGUGGCGAAGGCGACUUACUGGACACAUAUUGACGCUGAGGUGCGAAAGCGUGGGGAGCAAACAGG